rnacentral:lncRNA from 1 species
CACGAGCCAAAAAACUCAUUUCUUGGAAUAUGAUGGAACGCCUCUUAAAGGUAAUACUAGUUGAGAGAACUCAAUGCUGGCAAGUCCUAUGACGCCCUUGUUUGCUUUUGCAGAUGUGAGAGAGCCAUAAGCAAAGACAAGUCUGGCUUGAGUAGAAGUCUGUAUCAUUCACUGAAGAAAGGAGUAAAUGACUGAGGAAGAUCAUGUCACCCAUUGGCAUCCACAUGUAUCUGAAAAGAAGUCCAUGUGCCCCUCCCUGCAUGCAUGUGAAAACGUACAUGCAUGCGCAACACAGAUGCAGAAUGAGUUUCUAGUAUUGCAUCAAGCUAUUGGACUAUGAUUAGCUGCGAUGUUAAUUUCGGGUAAAGUGAUGCUUCUGCAUCAUCUUCCUCAGAAGAAAGAAUGAUCAGUUGUACUGCACUGGUGAUGACCAAUGGAUAGAGCAUCCGCAGCCUGUUUCCCAGUCAUCUACUGAACAGGAAGAGUGCUGGGUGUAGUCAUGUCUCAUCAAAUCCUAUAGUUUAGUUUUCUUAAUGGAAUUGUAGUUUCACUGAAAUGUAAACUGAAGAGCUG